AUGCGCAAUUAUUCUCGGUCCUCAAAUUCUCCUCCUCAGUCCUCAUCGCCUCGAGACCUCGACCAAAACCCUAAAUCCUCUUUGGAGUCUGGAGUCUGGCCUCUGCCUCGCUGAAUCGCAUCGCGGCCUAUCGAUUGAAAGUCCCUGGCUCGUCGCUCACCGCCAGUCGCCGGCUCACUGCCCACCUCCUCUCACAGCCUAGCCGCCCCUCACCCUUCGACAGUUCGGGCUUCUCAGAGACUCAGACUCAACUCUCAAGGGUGGUUCAGUUUCACACUUUCAUUGCUUCGGCCUUCGGCCUUCGCCCUUCGCCCUUCGCCCUUCGCCCUUCGCCCUUCGGUGCUUUCAAGAUUCAACUCAAGGCCUUAAGGUGUUUCUCUGCAUUCCAGAAUCCAGAGUUGAGGCUCCAUAAAUUUACAGUGUUGCUCUCUAUUGUUGCUCUCCAUUCCAGAAUCCAGAGUUCAGCUAUUCAAGGAAUUGCAAGAAAGCAAUAAGAAGAUAAUUGGCAGAGAGAUUGAGGAGAGAAGGAGCUUGAGUGAUUUUCAUUCAUAUCAUCAUCAGUCUGCAAUGGUGUACAACAUUCAUAUAUACAUAAUACAAAUGUAAUAAUGAGUACAGUAAUGAAUAGAUUAAUGACGGACCGUUAUAUCCGUUACAAUAAUAAUGUCCACUUAAUAUAUA